CAACCUAUAACACAAGUUCUUACCAAUUCUUACCUUGCUUGACAGGAGGGGUCGUCUGCCAACAAGUGUCCAGCAAUGGACGAAGUGUAUCGGUGCUGCAGCACAAGACCUGUCAAGCUGUAGAGUAUGUGGAGCUAUAGGUGGGCUGAAACAAGGAACGAACUAGCACCACGUUAGUUAUAAAAGCGAGCUGAAUAAGCGUUCGACGAUGGUACUGUGUUGGUCCUAGGCUAGACCAUGCUAGAGACGCGAGCCUGGACACAAAGGAAAACCACAGCACACCACCGAAAACAAGGUGGAAGAAACCUAAAAUCAAUAUGAAAAACAGCCCCUUCUUUUUUUUGAAUCUUUUUUCUUUUUUUUCUUUUUUUUCUUUUUUUUGGGCAACCUCAAAAACUGAUUAUACGAACAAAAGAAUACAAAAGAGCAAUUCGCUACACACACUUUUUUCCGAAAGUGCAGGGGUAUUCCGAAAGAGCAAUUCUCUCUCUCUCUCUCUCUCUCUCUAGAGUAAGGCCGAACAAGUAUGGAGUUAUCCUUCUUUUUUAUCACGUUGGUGGAACUCAGAUUGGAACUCUACUCGAUCCGGACCAAGACCACAGUUCAAUUCGGACUUCACAACAGAUUCGACAGAGAGAAGAUAUGGUAAUACUCGGCUGUGUAUAGAUGGUGACAAGAACUCGAAACUCUAAAGGACUAGACACUAAGACCAGCAACUCGACACAAACCGAAGCAACGCAAAUUCAACAAGCCCUAACGAAAACAGUACUAGCCAAGGCACAAAGGUUUAAUAGGAUUAUGGAAAACUAAUCUACUAUAUUUUUUUGGCUUUUCUGGACUAUAGGAAAUUAAUUAAAAACAGCAAAGGAUUAGAAGUCUCUCACCGAAGAACCUUGCUCUGAUUACCAACUGAUGCGAACCCGCUAGGGUUUUUGCCUGAUCUUUCGAUGAGAGACGGGGAUAAUUCGAUUGGUGGAUGGAGAUGACGUUCACGGCCCGACUACAGCCCUCAAGACCGCGCCUUAGCAACCGAUACACCACGUCCAACAGCCGUCA
rnacentral:lncRNA from 1 species